UUUAGGACCCUUCUUUCCGGCAAGUUCUCUUCUUUCUCUCCUCCAAGUAACUGGGUAAGUAUGAACACUUCUGUCUCUCCCCAUGUGUACUUCUCCCUCUCCCUCUCCCUCUCUCCACACUCUUGAGCAUUCUGGUCCCAAAUUAUAGAUUUCAUACUGUGUUCAGCUUCCAAUAGUUGUGACCUAAGAAUUGAGGCUUAAGGACUUGAGGAGUUUACCUUCAUCACAUAAUGAGAAGCCUGAAGAAGAGAAAUUGCUGGUGGUGGUUUCAGCUACUCAAGGAAUUCAGAGUGAAAAUUUUGAGAUUAUUUGGGAUUUUCCCUAAUGGUUGGGGUCCAACUGUAACAAGUAAGUUCAGGCAAAUAAAGAAAGAAAAACAACAGAGGUUUUCUAAGAAAUCCCACCCAAUUACUUUUUCUUGUGUCUCAGAGGCCACCUCUAUCUGGAAGAAAGAAGAGUAAUUGGCAAAGCUGGAUUUGGGAUUCCUGGGAUGUUAGCCUAUCUACCAUCUAAAACCAUCAAAGUCUUUCUUCAAUUUCUAACAAGAGUCUACAUCUCAUUUAUGGUGGAGCAUUCAAGAUGAGUGUUUUCCUGAAUGGCUACACAAUGAUGGGUUAUGAAAGACUUUCAGCCUCUCAUCUUCCACACAAAAAACAUGUUUGAAUCCCAGGAGUGAAUUCACCUAGAUUCAAGCAAGAUCUACAUACUACAUCUCUAAGACAGUAAAUUUUCUCAAAUUAUAAUCUUGGAUUUAAAUUGAAUGACCAAAUAAAGGGAUAAAAUUCAAA